GUGCCGCCCUGGUUGAUGGCGAACAGCCCCUGGUGUUCGUUCAGGGGAAAGGCUCGGCACCGUUCCAGCCAGCGGGUGGUGCG
rnacentral:tRNA from 1 species